AUGGUCGGGAUGGCCGCAGCCCUUCAAGAUUCUCAACGGCGGCGUCUCGGCGCUGAUGGCAGAGUCGAUGGCGAGCAUCGGCGGGUACAGGCUACUCGUAGGACCCUUGUAGGAGACCAUCCUCAAGAUCGACGAGAAGAUGAGGUCUGGACCCUUGUAGGAGACCAUCCUCAAGCAGCGCUAGAUGUAACUUGA
rnacentral:rRNA from 1 species